rnacentral:pre_miRNA from 1 species
AUGACUUUCCACUCAGCGAAUAUUACAUACAAUUCAUAUUCGUUGUUUGCGAAAUUCAUGC